GACGAACGCUGGCGGCGUGCCUAAUACAUGCAAGUAGAACGCUGAAGGAGGAGCUUGCUUCUCUGGAUGAGUUGCGAACGGGUGAGUAACGCGUAGGUAACCUGCCUGGUAGCGGGGGAUAACUAUUGGAAACGAUAGCUAAUACCGCAUAAGAGUAGAUGUUGCAUGACAUUUGCUUAAAAGGUGCAAUUGCAUCACUACCAGAUGGACCUGCGUUGUAUUAGCUAGUUGGUGAGGUAACGGCUCACCAAGGCGACGAUACAUAGCCGACCUGAGAGGGGGGGCGGACAACAGGGGACUGGGACCUGGAACGGACGCCUGGGGGAGGGAGCAGUAGGGAGUGUGCGGAAAUGGGCGAAAGUCUGGCAGAGCAAGGCCGAGGGGGUGAAGAGGGUUUUCGGAGCAAAAAGCUCGGUUGUAAGAGAAGAACGAGGGUGAGAGGGGAAAGUUCCGACUGUGACGGUACCUAACAAGAAAGGGACGGCAACCCACGUG
rnacentral:rRNA from 1 species